AUACGUAGGGAGCGAGCGUUAUCCGGAAUUACUGGGCGUAAAGGGCGCGUCGGCUGCGCUUCAAGUCGUCUGUCAACCAAUAAGGCUCAACCUUAUUUUGCAGACGAAACUGUGGCGCUAGAGAAGCAGAGAGGCAAACAGAAUUCCUGGUGUAGCGGUGAAAUGCGUAGAUAUCAGGAAGAAUACCAGUGGCGAAGGCGGUUUGCUGUCCGCCAGCAGAUGCUCAAGCCCGAGAGCCAGCGCAGCAUUCGGGAUUAGAUCCCCCGGGAGCAGGUGGAGCAAACGACUUAAACUGCGGGUUGAACUAGCGAUCUCCGCGUGCCGAAGGUAACGUAAUAAGGAGUCCCCCUUGGGAGUACGGUCUUAAGAUUGAGGCUGAAAUGAAUGGACGUAC
rnacentral:rRNA from 1 species